ACUGAGCUCAGCCUGUCAUGCAGGGGAUUAUACUCAGCAGGCUGGCCCGCAGCCACCAUUCGGAGUGCAAUUCCCUCAACUUGAUCAUUUGAGUAACCCAUUCGAGCAACCUUUUCAGCAACGUCCGGAUGGUUCUGCACUGACUGAGGUCCCAAGUGAUGAAGCACCAUCGGAGCAUUGCCAUGUGCUUGUUGAUUGAGGACAGCAACAAUAGUAGCAGGAUUGCUGGAAGGGCUUCCAUAAGCAGUGUUGUAGGUCUGUGCACUCCCUUGUACUGUAUAUGGUGCAACACCACAUGGACCAACCUUGCUUGGUUGAGGUACAAAUGAGCCAUUGCCAAGUGAAUGAAGCUGCUGAGGCUGUUGACGUCGCUCUGCUGAUGGAACAGAAACUGUGUUGCUUUGCACAUAAAUAGGAGCAACCUCAUGAUGCUUCCGCUGAGAUGAUGAAAUUGUGGAGUAUGAAGGCUGCACAACCAUACCCCCAGUGCGUGCCCCGGCAUUAGC
rnacentral:lncRNA from 1 species